rnacentral:rRNA from 1 species
GGGGGGACGGAGAAGGCUAGGUGGGCCUGGCGACGGUUGUCCAGGUUCAAGUGCGUAGGCUUAAGAGUUAGGUAAAUCCGGCUCUUUUUAAGGCUGAGACACGACGUCGAGCACCUACGGGUGUGAAGUCAUUGAUGCCAUGCUUCCAGGAAAAGCCUCUAAGCUUCAGAUUGUAAGGAAUCGUACCCCAAACCGACACAGGUGGUCGGGUAGAGAAUACCAAGGCGCUUGAGAGAACUCGGGUGAAGGAACUAGGCAAAAUGGUACCGUAACUUCGGGAGAAGGUACGCUCUUGAUGGUGAAGUCCCUUGCGGAUGGAGCUGACGAGAGUCGCAGAUACCAGGUGGCUGCAACUGUUUAUUAAAAACACAGCACUGUGCAAAAUCGUAAGAUGACGUAUACGGUGUGACGCCUGCCCGGUGCCGGAAGGUUAAUUGAUGGGGUUAGACUUCGGUCGAAGCUCUUGAUCGAAGCCCCGGUAAACGGCGGCCGUAACUAUAACGGUCCUAAGGUAGCGAAAUUCCUUGUCGGGUAAGUUCCGACCUGCACGAAUGGCGUAAUGAUGGCCACGCUGUCUCCACCCGAGACUCAGUGAAAUUGAAAUCGCUGUGAAGAUGCAGUGUACCCGCGGCUAGACGGAAAGACCCCGUGAACCUUUACUACAGCUUGGCACUGAACAUUGACCCUACAUGUGUAGGAUAGGUGGGAGGCUUUGAAGCACGUACGCCAGUAUGUGUGGAGCCGUCCUUGAAAUACCACCCUUGUAGUGUUGAUGUUCUAACGUUGACCCCUUAUCGGGGUUGCGGACAGUGCCUGGUGGGUAGUUUGACUGGGGCGGUCUCCUCCCAAAGAGUAACGGAGGAGCACGAAGGUGGGCUAAUCACGGUUGGACAUCGUGAGGUUAGUGCAAUG